AACGAACGCUGGCGGCAGGCUUAACACAUGCAAGUCGAGCGCCCCGCAAGGGGAGCGGCAGACGGGUGAGUAACGCGUGGGAUCGUACCUUUUGGUUCGGAACAACUCCGGGAAACUGGAGCUAAUACCGGAUAAGCCCUAACGGGGAAAGAUUUAUCGCCGAAAGAUCGGCCCGCGUCUGAUUAGCUAGUUGGUGAGGUAACGGCUCACCAAGGCGACGAUCAGUAGCUGGUCUGAGAGGAUGAUCAGCCACACUGGGACUGAGACACGGCCCAGACUCCUACGGGAGGCAGCAGUGGGGAAUAUUGGACAAUGGGCGCAAGCCUGAUCCAGCCAUGCCGCGUGAGUGAUGAAGGCCUUAGGGUUGUAAAGCUCUUUUGUCCGGGAAGAUAAUGACUGUACCGGAAGAAUAAGCCCCGGCUAACUUCGUG
rnacentral:rRNA from 1 species